rnacentral:rRNA from 1 species
AACGAACGCUGGCGGCAGGCUUAACACAUGCAAGUCGAGCGCCCCGCAAGGGGAGCGGCAGACGGGUGAGUAACGCGUGGGAAUCUACCCAUCUCUACGGAAUAACGCAUGGAAACGUGUGCUAAUACCGUAUACGUCCUUCGGGAGAAAGAUUUAUCGGAGAUGGAUGAGCCCGCGUUGGAUCAGCUAGAUGGUGGGGUAAAGGCCUACCAAGGCGGCGAUCCAUAGCCGGUCUGAGAGGAUGUUCAGCCACACUGGGACUGAGACACGGCCCAGACUCCUACGGGAGGAAGCAGUGGGGAAUAUUGGACAAUGGGCGCAAGCCUGAUCCAGCCAUGCCGCGUGAGUGAUGAAGGCCCUAGGGUUGUAAAGCUCUUUCACCGGUGAAGAUAAUGACGGUAACCGGAGAAGAAGCCCCGGCUAACUUCGUGCCAGCCGCCGCCGUAAGAC